AACUCCUCGGCUGGACGCAGAGCAGCCCGCGGAUGUCUUCCUCGGGGAUGUACUGAUCUGUCUGCACCUGCCAAACCGCACAGCGGGGACUGCCAUUACCACCAACCUCCGGUUUCCAGUGGAGGACUGGAGCGAGAGGACAACAGGAGAUACGUGAGGGUCCGGAAGGGGUACAGCAUCCCAACAGCUGGGAUCGAGCAGACGGGCAGCCCUACAGCCUGUCCUACCCCACGCCCUCCCAGAGGAGGCGCACAGCGCUGAGCUCCACCAGCAGCCUAGCCAUGGGGUGACAAACGGC